UACGUAGGGUGCGAGCGUUGUCCGGAAUUAUUGGGCGUAAAGAGCUCGUAGGCGGCUUGUCACGUCGGAUGUGAAAGCUCGGGGCUUAACCCCGAGUCUGCAUUCGAUACGGGCUAGCUAGAGUGUGGUAGGGGAGAUCGGAAUUCCUGGUGUAGCGGUGAAAUGCGCAGAUAUCAGGAGGAACACCGGUGGCGAAGGCGGUUCUCUGGGCAUUACCUGACGCUGAGGAGCGAAAGUGUGGGGAGCGAACAGG
rnacentral:rRNA from 1 species